rnacentral:rRNA from 1 species
GACGAACGCUGGCGGCGUGCUUAACACAUGCAAGUCGAACGGAAAGGCCCUGCUUUUGUGGGGUGCUCGAGUGGCGAACGGGUGAGUAACACGUGAGUAACCUGCCCUUGACUUUGGGAUAACUUCAGGAAACUGGGGCUAAUACCGGAUAGGAGCUCCUGCUGCAUGGUGGGGGUUGGAAAGUUUCGGCGGUUGGGGAUGGACUCGCGGCUUAUCAGCUUGUUGGUGGGGUAGUGGCUUACCAAGGCUUUGACGGGUAGCCGGCCUGAGAGGGUGACCGGAGCCAGGGGGACGGAGAGAAGGGCGAGAGUACGACGGGGGGCACAAGGGGGGAAGAUGGCACAAUGGGCGGAAUCCGUAGGCAGAGCCGCCGUGUGCGGGAGGACGGUUGUCGGGGUGGAAAAAGCUUUCGCCGGUGAAGAAGAGUGAGGGAGGGUAAUGGGUAAAGAAGAAAGGGCUAACUAGGUG